GAAAUUGUAUUACCGGUGAAGAUACCGGUUACCUACAGUAGGACGGAAAGACCCCAUGGAGCUUUACUGUAGCUUGGUAUUGGGUUUUGGCAUGGCAUGUAUAGGAUAGUUGGGAGACUGGGAAGGACUGGCGCUAGCUGUACCGGAGUCAUCGGUGGAAUACCAACCAUUCCCUGCUGACAUUCUCAUCUGUACUUUGGAGGUA
rnacentral:rRNA from 1 species